UAGUUAACCCUCCCCCACCUACUGC
rnacentral:piRNA from 1 species